AAUAAAUGUGUAGGACUCGGAACCGUGAUGGUACUCCGAACCGCGAUGGUCACGCUGAAGUGCGAUGGUCCACGCUGAAGUACGUUGGUUAAUACGCUGAAGUGAGAUGGUGACAUUGUGACGUUAACUUGUUGAGUAUACGCCGAAGUGCGAUGAUGGUUACGCUGAAGUACGAUGGUCUUCCUGUGACAUUGGAAAAAAAGCAAAAUGUAUAUACAAGCUGGUUAAAAGAAAUAAUAUCAUAACGAUUUGAGAAAAUGUAUAGCCCUUAGCCUCGAAUUAUGAAGAUUUUAAUUUUCUGUUUAUGUCAAACAAAACUUAAGGCUUUAAAUUUUGAUUUUUUUAAUCUAAUUUUAAAAUAUGCUAAUUCUCCGAUUAGCACGCAGUAGUUGAGAGUAAAAUAGUAUGCCGUUCAAGACGAAAAAAAAAGAUACAGCGUGUAGGUCUAUAUAAUAGUACCUAGAAGGGUCCAUCUCAUUUUAUUAUAUAUUACGACAAAACUUAGAAAUUGCUCACAAAAAUUAUUCAUCCAUUUAUAUAUACCCGAUUGCUCACGGAGUAAAAAAACACUUUGUGCGUUUAUGUAUGACAAAUAGCGAUCCUUGUCGAUUAUUUCACGAAAAAAAUAGGUGAUGACAAAUUGGGAAGUACAUGUAGGGAUCAGUUACAUUGUAGGUCAAUUUUGGCCUAACAUGUUGUAAAACAUCAACACUGCAACCACUAUAAAAAAAAAAGACUAGAAUGACAGUGUUCUUACAAAUCAGGAUUCAUCAUUAUAGCAACUUGAUAUAGCAAAAACAUUACUAGUACAAUAGUACAUUUUUUUUCUAUUAAAUUGUCGACAUAGAAUCACGAGAAUUUUACUUAAAGGUAAAUCCAAAUUAAUAUUUAGAUCAAUAUGCUUUAUUUAUUUGUUUUUGGUUUGUGGCAUAAUUCCUAACACUGGUUUUCCGAUAUGCAGACCAAGUUCAUCCAUCAGCUGCUUUGCUCUCAAUGAUUUGUUGCACGACUAGUUUGUAACCUCAACUUAUAAUGCUCAAAACUCUUCGGAACUUGAAUAGUUCGGUACUUUCUUUUCCCCUUCGUUUCCUUUGUUAACAUGAAACCUUCAUCUACACAACCCUAUCGUCCUUCCUGCGAAUCUAUGUUGUAUUUUACUAAGGCUAAACGUCACAAUAUGCUAACGUCAGACCAAACCAUCGCACCUCAGCGAAAGGACCAUCGUACUUCGGCGUGGACCAUCGCACUUCAGCGUGACCACUGCACUUCAGCGUCCCCAUCGCACCUCCGAGUCCUACAAAUGA
rnacentral:lncRNA from 1 species